rnacentral:rRNA from 1 species
UCUAACAUGUGCGCGAGUCAUUGGGAUUUUUUUAAACCUAAAGGCGCAAUGAAAGUGAAGGUCGUACCUCAGCGUCGACCGAGGGAGGAUGGCUCGCGUCACGAUGCGAGCCCGCACUCCCGGGGCGUCUCGUGCUCAUCGCGAGCAGAGGCGCACCCAGAGCGUACACGUUGGGACCCGAAAGAUGGUGAACUAUGCCUGGUCAGGACGAAGUCAGGGGAAACCCUGAUGGAGGUCCGUAGCGAUUCUGACGUGCAAAUCGAUCGUCGGAACUGGGUAUAGGGGCGAAAGACUAAUCGAACCAUCUAGUAGCUGGUUCCCUCCGAAGUUUCCCUCAGGAUAGCUGGCACUCGCUUGAGCGAGUCUCAUCUGGUAAAGCGAAUGAUUAGAGGCCUUGGGGCCGAAACGACCUCAACCUAUUCUCAAACUUUAAAUGGGUGAGAUCUCUGGCUUGCUUGAACGUUGAAGCCACGAGAAUUAUAUUUGAUGGAUCAGAGUGCCAAGUGGGCCAAUUUUGGU